AGAGAGAGACAUGCGCGCAUAUCAAUAAGCGGAGGAAAAGAAACUAACAAGGAUUCCCUUAGUAACGGCGAGUGAAGCGGGAAGAGCUCAAAUUUGAAAUCUUCAAGGUUUUACCUUGACGAAUUGUAGUUUAAAGAAGUGUUUUCUGCUGAAGUUUUGGUAAAAGUUCUUUGGAAUAGGACAUCAUAGAGGGUGAGAAUCCCGUAUUUGACCAUUAUUUUCAGCUUUGUGAUACACUUUCAAAGAGUCGGAUUGUUUGGGAAUGCAGUCCAAAAUGGGUGGUAAAUUUCAUCUAAAGCUAAAUAUUGGCGAGAGACCGAUAGCGAACAAGUACCGUGAGGGAAAGAUGAAAAGAACUUUGAAAAGAGAGUUAAACAGUACGUGAAAUUGUCAAAAGGGAAGCGUUUGACACCAGUGUUGUUUUCUCGAAAAUCAAUUAAAAAAUGGCUCGGAUUUUGUAGUUGUCUUGAGACCUUUAUAAGCUCACUGUACAUCUUUUCUUGUCUUUUUUUAAUGCACUUUUCGUUUAACAAGUCAACAUCAGUUUCUUUUGUUGUAAAAGGGUCAUUGGAAGGUGGCUUUCUUUUCGGAGAAAGUGUUUAUAGCCUUUGGCCUCUGCAAUCGGAGAGACUGAGGUCUGCAGCGUAGACUCUUCGGGGUUAGAUACAUUUGUGCUAAGUUAUAGCUUUUUAUAGACAACUUGUUGACUAUAAUUAGUCUUGUAGCUUACUCGCUUAUGCUAUUUUACCUACGCUUAGGAUGUUGAAGAUGUAGCACAUCAU
rnacentral:rRNA from 1 species